GAUGAACGCUGGCGGCGUGCAUAACACAUUCAAGUCGAACGGUGAAGUGACUUCGGUCACGGAUCAGUGGCGGACGGGUGAGUAACGCGUGAAUAACCUGCCUGUAUGUGGGGGAUAACAACCGGAAACAGUUGCUAAUACCGCAUAAUAUAUGAGAGUCGCAUGUCUUUCAUAUCAAAGAUUUAUUGCAUACAGAUGGAUUCGCGUCCGAUUAGAUAGUUGGUGAGGUAACGGCCCACCAAGUCGACGAUCGGUAGCCGGACUGAGAGGUUGAACGGCCAUAUUGGAACUGAGAUACGGUCCAGACUCCUACGGGAGGCAGCAGUGGGGAAUAUUGGGCAAUGGACGAAAGUCUGACCCAGCGACGCCGCGUGAGGGAAGAAGGGUCCUAUGGAUUGUAAACUGCUUUUGUACGAGAAGAAACACUCCUACGUGUAGGAGCUUGACGGUAUCGUAAGAAUAAGGAUCGGCUAACUCCGUGCCAGCAGCCG
rnacentral:rRNA from 1 species